rnacentral:rRNA from 1 species
UGGGGAAUCUUCCGCAAUGGACGAAAGUCUGACGGAGCAACGCCGCGUGAGUGAAGACGGCCUUCGGGUUGUAAAGCUCUGUGAUCCGGGACGAAAGAGCCUGAGGUGAAUAGCCUAAGGAAGUGACGGUACCGGAAAAGCAAGCCACGGCUAACUACGUGCCAGCAGCCGCGGUAAUACGUAGGUGGCAAGCGUUGUCCGGAAUUAUUGGGCGUAAAGCGCGCGCAGGCGGCUUCCUAAGUCCAUCUUAAAAGUGCGGGGCUUAACCCCGUGAUGGGAUGGAAACUGGGAAGCUGGAGUAUCGGAGAGUAAAGUGGAAUUCCUAGUGUAGCGGUGAAAUGCGUAGAGAUUAGGAAGAACACCGGUGGCGAAGGCGACUUUCUGGACGAAAACAGACGCUGAGGCGCGAAAGCGUGGGGAGCAAACAGG